CUGAGUACGGCGGAACACGUGAAAUUCCGUCGGAAUCCGGGAGGACCAUCUCCCAAGGCUAAAUACUCCCUAGUGACCGAUAGUGAACCAGUACCGUGAGGGAAAGGUGAAAAGCACCCCGGAAGGGGAGUGAAACAGUUCCUGAAACCGUGUGCCUACAAGUAGUUAGAGCCCGUUAAUGGGUGAUAGCGUGCCUUUUGUAGAAUGAACCGGCGAGUUACGAUUUGUUGCAAGGUUAAGCGGAAAAAGCGGAGCCGUAGCGAAAGCGAGUCUGAAUAGGGCGCAUAAGUAACAGGUCGUAGACCCGAAACCAGGUGAUCUACCCAUGUCCAGGAUGAAGGUAAGGUAAUACUUACUGGAGGUCCGAACCCACGCACGUUGAAAAGUGCGGGGAUGAGGUGUGGGUAGCGGAGAAAUUCCAAUCGAACUUGGAGAUAGCUGGUUCUCUCCGAAAUAGCUUUAGGGCUAGCCUCGAGGUAAAGAGUCAUGGAGGUAGAGCACUGUUUGGACUAGGGGCCCUUCUCGGGUUACCGAAUUCAGAUAAACUCCGAAUGCCAUGUACUUAUACUCGGGAGUCAGACUGCGAGUGAUAAGAUCCGUAGUCGAAAGGGAAACAGCCCAGACCACCAGUUAAGGUCCCCAAAUAUAUGUUAAGUGGAAAAGGAUGUGGGGUUGCUUAGACAACCAGGAUGUUGGCUUAGAAGCAGCCACCAUUGAAAGAGUGCGUAAUAGCUCACUGGUCGAGUGACCCCGCGCCGAAAAUGUACCGGGGCUAAACAUAUUACCGAAACUGUGGAUGAACCUCUUUAGAGGUUCGUGGUAGGAGAGCGUUCUAAGGGCGGUGAAGUCAGACCGGAAGGACUGGUGGAGCGCUUAGAAGUGAGAAUGCCGGUAUGAGUAGCGAAAGAAGGGUGAGAAUCCCUUCCACCGAAUAUCUAAGGUUUCCUGAGGAAGGCUCGUCCGCUCAGGGUUAGUCGGGACCUAAGCCGAGGCCGAUAGGCGUAGGCGAUGGACAACAGGUAGAGAUUCCUGUACCAGUGCUAAUUGUUUAACCGAUGGGGUGACACAGAAGGAUAGGGAAUCGCACGAAUGGAAAUGUGCGUCCAAGCAGUGAGUGUGAGAAGUAGGCAAAUCCGCUUCUCGCGAAGCAUGAGCUGUGAUGGGGAAGGAAAUUAAGUACGGAAGUUCCUGAUUUCACGCUGUCAAGAAAAGCCUCUAGGAAGAGUAGUACUGCCCGUACCGCAAACCGACACAGGUAGAUGAGGAGAGAAUCCUAAGGUGAGCGAGAGAACUCUCGUUAAGGAACUCGGCAAAAUGACCCCGUAACUUCGGGAGAAGGGGUGCUCUAUUAGGGUGCAAGCCCGAGAGAGCCGCAGUGAAUAGGCCCAGGCGACUGUUUAGCAAAAACACAGGUCUCUGCAAAACCGUAAGGUGACGUAUAGGGGCUGACGCCUGCCCGGUGCUGGAAGGUUAAGAGGAGUGCUUAGCUUCGGCGAAGGUACGAAUUGAAGCCCCAGUAAACGGCGGCCGUAACUAUAACGGUCCUAAGGUAGCGAAAUUCCUUGUCGGGUAAGUUCCGACCCGCACGAAAGGCGCAACGAUCUGGGCACUGUCUCAACGAGAGACUCGGUGAAAUUAUAGUACCUGUGAAGAUGCAGGUUACCCGCGACAGGACGGAAAGACCCCGUGGAGCUUUACUGCAACCUGAUAUGGAAUGUUUGUACCGCUUGUACAGGAUAGGUAGGAGCCGAAGAGACGUGUGCGCUAGCAUACGAGGAGGCAAUGGUGGGAUACUACCCUGGCUGUAUGACCAUUCUAACCCGCCACGCUUAGCGCGUGGGGAGACAGUGUCAGGUGGGCAGUUUGACUGGGGCGGUCGCCUCCUAAAGAGUAACGGAGGCGCCCAAAGGUUCCCUCAGAAUGGAUGGAAAUCAUUCGCAGAGUGUAAAGGCACAAGGGAGCUUGACUGCGAGACUGACAAGUCGAGCAGGGACGAAAGUCGGGCUUAGUGAUCCGGUGGUUCCGCAUGGAAGGGCCAUCGCUCAACGGAUAAAAGCUACCCCGGGGAUAACAGGCUUAUCUCCCCCAAGAGUCCACAUCGACGGGGAGGUUUGGCACCUCGAUGUCGGCUCGUCGCAUCCUGGGGCUGUAGUCGGUCCCAAGGGUUGGGCUGUUCGCCCAUUAAAGCGGCACGCGAGCUGGGUUCAGAACGUCGUGAGACAGUUCGGUCCCUAUCCGUCGCGGGCGCAGGAAAUUUGAGAGGAGCUGUCC
rnacentral:rRNA from 1 species